rnacentral:lncRNA from 1 species
UCUCUCCUCCUUUCCGCGUCUUGGCGAUCUCUCCUCCUUUUCGCAGCUCGGCGAUCUCUCAUCCUUUGAAUAUUAUCUCUCAUCUUUUUAUCGUAAUCUCUCUCUAUUGCUAUCGUCUCUCCGUAUGUAUUUGUUCUCUCCUCUUUUUUUUUUUCAUCGUCGUCCGCAUUGAUUUUUAUUCUCAUAUUUAUAAUAAAAUAAAAGGGGCGGCGAGAGAUAUUUUGAGGAGUCGAUUAGAGAUUCAAAUUUUGAAUCGGUUGUUGGAUGGUUGGAAAAUAUUUUGGGGGUUGGCUGGGAAUUCGAAAUUCGAAAUCGAAUUUUGAAUCGAUUGUUCGAUAGAUAGGUAUUCAAAAUUUGAAUAAAUGUGGUUGGUUGGGAGAUUUUUGGGAGUUGGCUGGGAAUUCGAAAUUCGAAAUCGAAUUUUGAAUCAGUUGUGAUUUGUUGGAAGUUGUUUUGGGAGUUGGUUAGGAAUUCGAAAUCCAAAAUCAAAUUUUGAAUCGGUUGUGAUUUGAAAUAGAGUUUCGAAUGGGGUUGUUAGGAUAAUAGAUAUUUUCUAGAGUGUGGAUAUGAACCGUCAUUGAUCGAGCCCACUUUAAUGAAAUUUGUUGGGCACAAAUAAUAAUAAUCAAUGGGCUGAAAUGAGACCCGAAUUAUUAUAUAGGCCUAAAAUUUUAAAGGGCUUUAAUAAGGCCCACCAACUCGCAUCCAUGAAUGGGUCUAUUGUGAAUUAUAAUUAUUGGCUCCAAUAUUAUUUUUUUUUUCAUGUCAAAUACUAAGCUAUUACAAGCAUUCACACCACAUGCGUUUUACAUAUUACAUUUUCGUUUUCUUUUCUUCCAAAUACAAUCAAGAUUAUUACAAUAUUGUUUUCCUUCUUUUAUACACCCCUAGCUAGGCUGACUCGGGGUAUUGCUAUCUCUAGUCUCAGUGGUAGAGCGCUAUCUACGGAGGUACGCCCUUUCCACGCGCCGCCGCGCCGCUUGCGUGUGAA